AUCUAAACCAGCGUGCAAAGACGUCCGGUAAACAACUAGUUUAGCUCCUAAAUUGAAUCUCAGCAGCGCAUUUCACCCUGCCGCAGUUCAGACUUCCAACACCCCAGCAGAAUUUGGUGCUCCGAGGCCAUUCCACUUUCUCCCAAUCUACAGCGGCAGGUACAAUUCCCUCGAUUUACCAUCAGCUACAAUUUACAUUCCAUAAACCUGCGUUGAUCUCUCUUUCUAGUUCUCCACAGCUUCAUCAGCUGAUUAUCUCCCUUCCACACCUGAUUUUGUGUUGGGUGUGUGUGAUCAGUAGAGUUUUUAUAUGCUAGAUUAAAAUCUACUUAGGAUUAAUUGAGCACGAAUAUGAAUGGAAUGGUGGAAUAAAGCUGGUCUGGCAUUCCAAAUUGGGAGGUUAUGAGCAUUAAAACUGGAUUAACUGGAUAUAAAAUGCAAGCAGGGAGAUUUUUCGUCUUUGGGGCUUUUUUCUUAUCAUGGAAACAAAAAAUUUAAUUGGGGAAAAUAAAAUUUGUCCUGAAUUCAGUAGGACAAUAAGAAUGUUAGAAGUUAAUUUUGCUUUGAAAUAUGUCAGUUUGACGUAGGAUAUAAAUUAUUGUUCUUCAUCACCCUUAAAAACAAAAGGAAAUGAAGUAAAAUAUAUUCUAUGACGUAAAUUAAUGUUGCACAGAAAUUGUUUAAUAAAGUUUUACAAAAAAUACAAGUUAUUUUCACUGCUUAGUUGCAUUGGCCUUUGGCAAUCAGUUUACUUUUUUCCAUGGUUUCUUUUGCUUUCUUUCGAUUGAAGAAGGUUUGCCUCAUAACGCACAAGGAUUGGACAACUGUGACAGGAAACAUAAAA
rnacentral:lncRNA from 1 species